rnacentral:sRNA from 18 species
GUCAGGCGCCCCACCACAGACAUCGACGGGCCCCAGGGCACAUCGGUGGAUGUCGAGUCUGACCAGCUCGAGACACCGCUCAGAGGGAGGUGACUACGUUGCACACACGCGAGAAGACCCACCAGGCCGUGCUUCCUCAGCGGCCUGCUCUGGA